rnacentral:misc_RNA from 1 species
CAGGGGCUAAAUAAUUUUUCAAAUUGCAGAACAAUUAUCACUAAACAAACCAAAAAAAAGUUUAAACCAACAGAUUAUUCUGAAAUAGAGCAAUAUUAUGGAUUUAUCUUGCAACCAUUACCGAAUAGUAAUGAGAAGACUUUGAACCAGGCUGACAUAACAAGCCUAUUCCCAGACUACGUUACAUUUUCAGAAGACAUUCCCAGUAAGCAGCUAUAAAGCCUCAAAAUUGCCAGCGAUAAGUAUUUUUUACUUUCUCAGAAUCAGUACAAUUACUGUUAUGAGAUCAAGGAACUUGCCGCUGAUCUUAGAGAAGACCUUGAAGGGGAUGACAAAUAUGGUUUUGGUGGGAUUGAUAGUGACUCGAGUCUCUCUUGCAACAUUUCUACCACUCUGCUCAUUGGUGGCCGAUUUGAGGGAUCAGUUUGUAUGCACCACAGGCUCACUAACACCAUUUUUUUGGCUGUUAGGUGGUCUUCUUCGCUAUCAAUUCCAUUAAGUUCAAGUUCUUCUCCUAGUUCGAGAAGCUUGAAUAUCCAAUGAGGAAAAUAUAUUUCACUGGUAUUAUCAACAGCAACACAAAUAUUCUUUCUUCCUCCAACCAUUUCUAGCACUAACAUCCCAUAACGAUAAACAUCAGACUUGUGAGAGACCACUCCGAAAUUUCUACAAAAUACUUCAGGUGCGAUAUAUCCAGCAGUCCCUCUAGCAUCCAUCAAUGAUAUGAUACUCUCUUUUCUAGGACAUAUUUUUGCUAGACCAAAAUCAGAAAUUUUAGGACAGAAAGUUUCAUCCAGAAGAAUGUUAUGAGGCUUUAUGUCAAAAUGCAGAAUCCUUGUGUUACAACCUCGGUGCAAGUACUCUAAUCCACGAGCAAUACCAAGUGCAAUUUGGUGUAAUGUUUCCCAAUCCAGUUGACGAUCAGCUUUCAAGGGAUUUUCUUCAUAUAUGUACUUCUCAAGAGACCCAUUAAACAUGAAUUCAUAGAUUAGUGCUCGUUUGGAACCCUCAAAACAAAAUCCUAAAAGAGCAACAAUGUUGACAUGGGAAGUCCUACUAAUGCUUGCAACCUCAUUUAUAAAUUUCUUCCCCGUUGCUCUUCGAUUCCUUCAAAAUCUUCACUGCCACAAGACGGCCAUCAGGUAAUUUCCCUUUAAAAACACUUCCAUAACCUCCUUGGCCUAGUUUGUCAUUGAAGGAUCCUGUCAUUUUCUUAACUUCUGUAUAUUUGUAUCUUUUUGGUGACAUCACUCCAUUGUUCUUAAGAAACGCCUCAAUACUUUGAUGGCAUUGUGUGUUCUUCUUCCAAUAGAAAAUGGAGUAUUUGGAUGAUAACUUUCUACUGAAGCAAAAGACUAUCACUAGAAGUGCAAUUCCAGAAGCUGAGAGGGCUGCAACAAUGGAUAAAAGGAGAUUAAAAAAAUAAUGUAGAAGAAACCCAUCAUAAUAGAAAUUCUCCAUUGGAUGUUAAGAUUCUUGAGAAAUAUAUGCAAAAGAGAAAUUGAGUUGUUGAUCAGGAAGUCAAAUACCUAGCCCUAGCUUCAAUCUGAAUCCUUUGUGUCUUUCUGGAGGAGGCAGUGGCUGAGGACCACCAAUACAUUUCACUGUUCCAUUGUUGGUUUUACAUUCUCCACCACGUAAAUGACAGAGAUGACAAUCAGGCCAUAUGCUGACAUUCAGAGAGAAGUUAGCAGCUGACAUUCGGAAUAUGUCGUCAUGAUCAUUGUUUGUGUUUAGUGGGAGCUUCACAAUUGAGCAGUUACGCAGAGACCUUAGUACACUUGCAUUAUCCUUCUUAGGAUAAUAGAUUUUGAAGUCGGGGCACUUUUUAUAACUAAUAAAAUUAAAAGAAGGUUCUGGAAAAUCUACAGAGUGGUUGCAUUUGUAUAUGGUUGUUAGACUGGAGUCAAUUUGAAAAGAUGCGUAUGUGAGAUUGGGAAGACUCAGAUUGCUGAUGGACUCGCAGCUCAACUGAUUCUGGAGCUUUAUGUCAAACGAAAAUUUUUUACUGAUAAGCAUGCCAAACGAAAUGUUACUCGGUAACUGGAUUCCAUUUUCUUCAUAUGGGGAGAUGCUUUCGACUUGAUACCAUUUUCCACGUCCCCAAUCAAACUUUGAUCUUCGGAAUUUCUUUAUAGCAAUCAUCCACGACAAAGGGACCGCAUCCCUCAUCAAAUCCAAAUGUGUCCGUGAAAGGGAAAUUGAGCAUUCCGAGUCUUCCACAGGGAACAGAUGGACAACCCUUGAUAAAAGGAAAAAGAGGGAGAAAGAAUGCAAAGAGAAGAAUCAAAGAGAAAGCAGCCAUGAACCAAUUGAAAGGAAAGAACCACCAAGAAGGUUAGUAAUUCUCUUUCAUUAUUACCCCUCUACAAUAUAUGGCUAUGGUUAUGGAGAUGGUAAACACGUCAGUUCACUUGGAAAAUUGACAUGGAAGACUUGGGGAUAUAGACUUUAAGGAAGAAAAAGCAAAGGUGGGGUACCCUUGUGAAAUUUCGUAUACCCUUUAUCAAUGAAAUAUACGCGACACAUAAUCUGGGGUGAGAUAGAAUAUUAAGGAUCCCUUUCCUUCUCUCUUAACUAAUGGUAUCGAGUUCGAGUUUUGAAUACGGAACACCUUUAAAACUUAGUAAGGAGUGUUUUGUCUCCCUUUGUAGAUCUGCCUGGCAUGAAUCUAGAUUAGCUGGGACAAUAGACUUCAGAUACAAGUUGGUU